ACUCCUACGGGAGGCAGCAGUGGGGAAUAUUGCACAAUGGGCGGAAGCCUGAUGCAGCAACGCCGCGUGAGGGAUGACGGCCUUCGGGUUGUAAACCUCUUUUAGCAGGGAAGAAGCGAAAGUGACGGUACCUGCAGAAAAAGCGCCGGCUAACUACGUGCCAGCAGCCGCGGUAAUACGUAGGGCGCAAGCGUUAUCCGGAAUUAUUGGGCGUAAAGAGCUCGUAGGCGGUUUGUCGCGUCUGCUGUGAAAUCCCGAGGCUCAACCUCGGGUCUGCAGUGGGUACGGGCAGACUAGAGUGCGGUAGGGGAGAUUGGAAUUCCUGGUGUAGCGGUGGAAUGCGCAGAUAUCAGGAGGAACACCGAUGGCGAAGGCAGAUCUCUGGGCCGUAACUGACGCUGAGGAGCGAAAGGGUGGGGAGCAAACAGGCUUAGAUACCCUGGUAGUCCACCCCGUAAACGUUGGGAACUAGUUGUGGGGACCAUUCCACGGUUUCCGUGACGCAGCUAACGCAUUAAGUUCCCCGCCUGGGGAGUACGGCCGCAAGGCUAAAACUCAAAGGAAUUGACGG
rnacentral:rRNA from 1 species